rnacentral:rRNA from 1 species
CAGUCGCCGCGGGAAUACGGAGGGCGCAAGCGUUGUCCGGAUUUAUUGGGUUUAAAGGGUGCGUAGGCGGCUAUUUAAGUCAGCGGUGAAAGACUCCGGCUCAACCGGAGCAGUGCCAUUGAUACUGGAUAGCUUGAGCGUUGGAGGGGUACAUGGAAUUGAUGGUGUAGCGGUGAAAUGCAUAGAUACCAUCAGGAACACCGAUAGCGAAGGCAUUGUACUGGCCAACAACUGACGCUGAGGCACGAAAGCAUGGGGAGCGAACAGGAUUAGAUACCCGAGUAGUCCCUGUCUCUUAUAC